rnacentral:siRNA from 1 species
GCUUGAAGCAUUUGAUGCAAUUGC